rnacentral:rRNA from 1 species
UACGAAGGGGGCUAGCGUUGCUCGGAAUCACUGGGCGUAAAGCGCACGUAGGCGGAUUGUUAAGUCAGGGGUGAAAUCCUGGAGCUCAACUCCAGAACUGCCUUUGAUACUGGCGAUCUUGAGUUCGGGAGAGGUGAGUGGAACUGCGAGUGUAGAGGUGAAAUGCGCAGAUAUCAGGAGGAACACCGGUGGCGAAGGCGGGUCUCUGGGCCGAUACUGACGCUGAGGAGCGAAAGCGUGGGGAGCGAACAGG